rfam:Rattus norvegicus chromosome 5, whole genome shotgun sequence.
GGAGAGAUGGCUCAGUGGUUAAGAGCACUGGCUGCUCUUCCAGAGGUCCUGAGUUCAAUUCCCAGCAACUACA